UACGUAGGUGGCAAGCGUUGUCCGGAAUUAUUGGGCGUAAAGCGCGCGCAGGCGGCUUUCUAAGUCCAUCUUAAAAGUGCGGGGCUUAACCCCGUGAUGGGAUGGAAACUGGAAAGCUGGAGUAUCGGAGAGGAAAGUGGAAUUCCUAGUGUAGCGGUGAAAUGCGUAGAGAUUAGGAAGAACACCGGUGGCGAAGGCGACUUUCUGGACGACAACUGACGCUGAGGCGCGAAAACGUGGGGAGCAAACAGG
rnacentral:rRNA from 1 species